rnacentral:lncRNA from 1 species
UACAUAAGUUCUCCUUGAGUCUAUGGUGGUAAAAACAAAAAACAGAAACAAGAGGUCCAGCAGAUGUGUGUAUGUGUGCGUGCUCAGUCAUGUUUGACCCUUCGUGACCCCGUGGACUGUAGCCCGCCAGGCUCCUUUGUCCGUGGGAUUCUCCAGGGAAGAAUACCGGCGUAGGUUGCCAUAUCCUUCUCCUGGGGAUCUUCCCAACCUAGGGACUGAACACAGCUCUCCUGUAUUGCAGGCGGAUUCUUUACUGCUGAGCCACCGGGGAAGACCUCAGACAGAGAUGCGGCCUUCCUCAAAAGUAUCCUCAGGUCUUCAUUGAUUCAACAGAAGUAACUGCUCCAGACUUUGAACAUCUUCAGUGAAAGCUUGUGAGAAGAUUGAACCUUUCUCUGGUCAAGUACCAAAACUCCAGGUGAAUUGGUGGAAUGCUUAGAACAUGACUAUUCUGACCGGAGUCACUAUUUCAAGCUAUAUUGUGUGUGUGCUUAGUUGCUCAGUCCUGUUCAACUCUUUGCUACCCCCUGGACUGGAGACCGCCAGGCUCCUCUGCUCAUGGGAUUUUCCAGGUAAGAAUACUGAAGAGGGUAGCCAUUCCCUUCUCCAGGCAAUCUUCCUGAGGCAGGGAUUGAACCCAUAUCUCCUGCAUUGCAGGCAUAUUCUUUAUUGUCUGAGCCGCCCACGUCUAAAUUGUUCCUAAGC